CCUACGGGAGGCAGCAGUGGGGAAUAUUGGGCAAUGGAGGCAACUCUGACCCAGCAACGCCGCGUGAAUGAUGAAGGUCUUCGGAUUGUAAAGUUCUGUGAUGGGGGAUGAACACAAUGACGGUACUCCAAUAGCAAGCCACGGCUAACUACGUGCCAGCAGCCGAGGUAAUACGUAGGUGGCAAGCGUUAUACGGAAUGACUGGGCGUAAAGGUUGCGUAGGGGGUUUAGUAAGUUGGCGGUGUAAUUCCGGGGCUCAACCUCGGCGCUACCGCCAAAACUAGUAGACUAGAGUGCAGGAGAGGUGAGUAGAAUUCCUAGUGUAGCGGUGGAAUGCGUAGAUAUUAGGAGGAACAUCAGGGGCGAAGGCGACUUACUGGACUGUAACUGACACUGAGGCACGAAAGCGUGGGGAGCAAACAGGAUUAGAUACCCCAGUAGUC
rnacentral:rRNA from 1 species